rnacentral:tRNA from 1 species
GGUUCUGUGGUGUAGUCGGUUAUCACACCGCCUUUACACGGCGUAGGUCGCGAGUUCGAACCUCGCCGGAAUCA